AUUGAACGCUGGCGGCAUGCUUUACACAUGCAAGUCGAACGGUAACAGGCCUUCGGGUGCUGACGAGUGGCGAACGGGUGAGUAAUGCAUCGGAACGUACCCAGAGGUGGGGGAUAACGCAGCGAAAGCUGUGCUAAUACCGCAUGUGAUCUGAGGAUGAAAGCGGGGGACCGCGCAGCAAUGCUUGGCCUCGCGCCUUUGGAGCGGCCGAUGUCGGAUUAGCUAGUUGGUGGGGUAAAGGCCUACCAAGGCGACGAUCCGUAGCUGGUCUGAGAGGACGACCAGCCACACUGGGACUGAGACACGGCCCAGACUCCUACGGGAGGCAGCAGUGGGGAAUUUUGGACAAUGGGCGCAAGCCUGAUCCAGCAAUGCCGCGUGCGGGAAGAAGGCCUUCGGGUUGUAAACCGCUUUUGGCAGGAACGAAACGGUGUCCGCUAAUACCGGGCGCUAAUGACGGUACCUGCAGAAUAAGCACCGGCUAACUACGUG
rnacentral:rRNA from 1 species